CACGGGGGGAGCGAACGUUGUUCGGAAUCACUGGGCGUAAAGGGCGUGUAGGCGGUUCGGUAAGUGGAAUGUGAAAUCCCCCGGCUUACCCGGGGAACUGCAUCCCAUACUGCUGGACUUGAGUGCGGGAGAGGAUGGAGGAAUUCCUGGUGUAGCGGUGAAAUGCGUAGAUAUCUGGAGGAACACCGGUGGCGAAGGCGGCAUCCUGGACCAACACUGACACUGAGGAGCGAAAGCCAGGGGAGCAAACGGG
rnacentral:rRNA from 1 species